rnacentral:rRNA from 1 species
GAUGGCGGCCAAAGUGGGAGUGUUUACCCGUACCCAUUCCGAACACGGAAGUCAAGCCUCCCAACGGUCUGGUGUGUACUUCAUUCGUGAGGGAAAUCCAGAUAGCUGCCUCCA